rnacentral:rRNA from 1 species
AAUCCAUAGGUUAAUGAGGCGAACCGGGGGAACUGAAACAUCUAAGUACCCCGAGGAAAAGAAAUCAACCGAGAUUCCCCCAGUAGCGGCGAGCGAACGGGGAGGAGCCCAGAGCCUGAAUCAGCAUGUGUGUUAGUGGAAGCGUCUGGAAAGGCGCGCGAUACAGGGUGACAGCCCCGUACACAAAAGCGCAUGUGCUGUGAGCUCGAUGAGUAGGGCGGGACACGUGGUAUCCUGUCUGAAUAUGGGGGGACCAUCCUCCAAGGCUAAAUACUCCUGACUGACCGAUAGUGAACCAGUACCGUGAGGGAAAGGCGAAAAGAACCCCGGCGAGGGGAGUGAAAAAGAACCUGAAACCGUGUACGUACAAGCAGUGGGAGCACAGGUUUACCUGUGUGACUGCGUACCUUUUGUAUAAUGGGUCAGCGACUUAUAUUCUGUAGCAAGGUUAACCGAAUAGGGGAGCCGUAGGGAAACCGAGUCUUAACCGGGCGUUAAGUUGCAGGGUAUAGACCCGAAACCCGGUGAUCUAGCCAUGGGCAGGUUGAAGGUUGGGUAACACUAACUGGAGGACCGAACCGACUAAUGUUGAAAAAUUAGCGGAUGACCUGUGGCUGGGGGUGAAAGGCCAAUCAAACCGGGAGAUAGCUGGUUCUCCCCGAAAGCUAUUUAGGUAGCGCCUCGUGAA